rnacentral:misc_RNA from 1 species
AACGAUUUGUCGUUUGGGUGAUUAUAUACUUUAAUUGAAUUUGUAUGGAUGCAUUAUGCACUGUGUCUCAUGUGAAGCUAUUAUUGCCCUUGUUGCUUUUCCCGCUUUUUUGACCCUGAAACCACUUAAAACCAGCAUAUAUUUUCAGGCGUCUAAAAAUAUCUGGCAUUUUACUGAAAUGCGACUUUAUUUAUUUGCUGAGGAAAUUUAGGUUCAAAAGAGAAGCAUAUCAGGUACACAUUAUUGGGAUUUUAUGUAUGGAUUUCUGUGUUUGUG